rnacentral:rRNA from 1 species
GUGGGGAAUAUUGGACAAUGGGGGGAACCCUGAUCCAGCCAUGCCGCGUGUGUGAAGAAGGCCUUUUGGUUGUAAAGCACUUUAAGCGAGGAGGAGGCUACCGAGAUUAAUACUCUUGGAUAGUGGACGUUACUCGCAGAAUAAGCACCGGCUAACUCUGUGCCAGCAGCCGCGGUAAUACAGAGGGUGCAAGCGUUAAUCGGAUUUACUGGGCGUAAAGCGCGCGUAGGUGGCCAAUUAAGUCAACUGUGAAAUCCCCGAGCUUAACUUGGGAAUUGCAUUCGAUACUGGUUGGCUAGAGUAUGGGAGAGGAUGGUAGAAUUCCAGGUGUAGCGGUGAAAUGCGUAGAGAUCUGGAGGAAUACCGAUGGCGAAGGCAGCCAUCUGGCCUAAUACUGACACUGAGGUGCGAAAGCAUGGGGAGCAAACAGGAUUAGAAACCCCGGUAGUCC